GAUGAAGAACGUAGUGAAAUGCGAUAAGUAGGGUGAAUUGCAGAAUUCAGUGAAUCAUCGAAUCUUUGAACGCACAUUGCGCCCCUUGGUAUCCCGAGGGGCAUGCCUGUUCGAGCGUCAUUUCACCACUCAAGCCUGGCUUGGUGUUGGGCGACGUCCCCUUUGGGGACGCGCCUCGAAACGCUCGGCGGCGUGGCACCGGCUUUAAGCGUAGCAGAAUCUUUCGCUUUGGAAGUCGGGGCCCCGUCUGCCGGAAGACCUACUCGCAAGGUUGACCUCGGAUCAGGCAGGGAUACCCGCUGAACUUAAGCAUAUCAAUAAGCGGAGGA
rnacentral:misc_RNA from 1 species